rnacentral:lncRNA from 1 species
GUCUGAGCGCUUAUAAUUAAAUAACCACCAGACUUGCUUAGAAAAUUGAAAGGCAGUUUAAGUAUUUAAGCCUCUGUAGAGCAUGAAAGGAGCAAAUCUCUUAAGACACAGACAUUUGUAAUAUUGUCUUUUACCAGCUCGCUCUCCCAUCCCCUUUCCACGAGUCCUCUUCAACGUUUGACAAGCCAAGUAGUCACGUUCAGUAGCUCUCAUUUUCCAAAUACCCUCAGUCUCAGAUCACAUAUGUUCCUGUUUGUUGUAGUUUGUGCAUGCUUUUUUGUCAUCUUCUCAUUAUUCACUUAAUUUCUCUUCUUAUGGCAACUCUACCUUCAUCAUAUGACUACCUGCAGACCCUCUGGCUCUGCCAGUUCUACUUCCUCCACCAUUACCAACGACGGGGACAGCAGAUGCCCAGGGGCUCAACAGGCAGAAACAUAACCUUCUGGAGUGGGUGGAGUGGAUGGAGUAUGGGAAUACAUUUUCCAAAAUUUAUCCCAUUAAUAGUUCCUGUUUGGAUUCCUCUAACAAGAAGCAAGCACACGUGAUCCGGAAGUAUCAAAGAGAAGAUAUGCAGGGGGAGGUCCCAUUCAGCAUUCAAGUCUGCACAGUUUACACUUAUUGGUGUAGAAACAUGGGACCAAUGGUCCAGCAUCAACCUUUUCUUCUGGAAACGACCUUUCUCUGCCCAUACUCUAAUAACUCUGGAUGAAGUCAGCAUAUUCUUACAACCCCACCCCUUGACCUCCAGUUGAAGAAGGUGAGUCAAAGAUGAGCACUUGAAAAGUAAGUUCAAUGAGUCCCUCCCACGGAUUUCUGGUCUUGUGACUAAAAGAGUUUGUCUCUCUCCACCAACUGAACCUGCAAUAUACAGAACACAGGAGUUAUGCUUGCCAUGUUGUAGGAAAAGGUAUCCUACAGGCAGAGGGUAGGGAAUCUAGCACAGACAGUGGAAAUAAGAGACACACUCAAAACACUCAAUUAGCGAGCCCCAGUUGGCCCUAAGGCUCAGGUGCACACAUCUCUUUAGCAGA